rnacentral:rRNA from 1 species
UACGUAGGGUGCGAGCGUUAAUCGGAAUGACUGGGCGUAAAGGGUGUGUAGGCGGUCUGUUAAGUCUGAUGUGAAAUCCCCGGGCUCAACCUGGGAACUGCGUUGGAAACUGGCAAACUAGAGUACGUAAGAGGGGGGUGGAAUUCCACGUGUAGCAGUGAAAUGCGUAGAGAUGUGGAGGAACACCGAUGGCGAAGGCAGCCCCCUGGGACGAUACUGACGCUGAGGCACGAAAGCGUGGGGAGCAAACAGG